rnacentral:SRP_RNA from 2 species
UGUUGGCUCUCCCGCAACGCUACUCUGUUUACCAGGUCAGGUCCGGAAGGAAGCAGCCAAGGCAGAUGACGCGUGUGCCGGGAUGUAGCUGGCAGGG